rnacentral:rRNA from 1 species
ACUCAAAGGAAUAGACGGGGGCCCGCACAAGCGGUGGAGCAUGUGGUUUAAUUCGUCGCCACGCGAAGAACCUUACCAAGGCUUGACAUGGGGAAGCUGUUCUAAGAAAUUAGAAUUUUCUACGGAACUUCCCACACAGGUGGUGCAUGGUUGUCGUCAGCUCGUGUCGUGAGAUGUUGGGUUAAGUCCCGCAACGAGCGCAACCCUUACCCUUAUUAGCCAUCAUUAAGUUGGGUACACUAGGGGGACUGCCGCGGAGAACGCGGAGGAAGGCGGGGACGACGUCAAAUCAUCAUGCCCCUUAUGUCUUGGGCUACACACGUGCUACAAUGGCUCGAACAAAGUGAAGCAAAGCUGUGAAGCGGAGCAAAACACAAAAACGAGCCUCAGUUCGGAUUGUAGGCUGCAACUCGCCUACAUGAAGUUGGAAUCGCUAGUAAUCGCGGAUCAGCACGCCGCGGUGAAUACGUUCCCGGGCCUUGUACACACCGCCCGU